rnacentral:sRNA from 1 species
GCUGGGUGUGGUGGUGCAUGCCUGUAAUCCCAGCAGCCUGGGAGGCUGAGGCAGGAGGAUCAUGAGUUCAAAGCCAGCCUCAGCAACUUAGUGAGGCUCUAAGCAAUUCAGUGAGACCCUGUCUCUA